rnacentral:rRNA from 1 species
GGCGGCGGAUUAGGCUGCAGUCGAGCGCGACCCCCGUCUUCGGCGGGGCAGUAGAGCGGCGAACGGGUGAGUAACACGUGAGUAACCUGCCCACUGGACCGGGAUAGCCCCGGGAAACCGGGAUUAAUACCGGAUACGCCGCGCACCGCGCCUGCGGUGUUGCGGGAAACGGAUUUAUCCGCCUGUGGAGGGGCUCGCGCCCCAUUAGCUUGUUGGUAGGGUAACGGCCUACCGAGGCGAAGAUGGGUAGCUGGUCUGAGAGGAUGGUCAGUCACACUGGGACUGAGACACUGCCCAGACUCCUACGGGAGGCUGCAGUCGAGAAUCUUCGGCAAUGGGCGCAAGCCUGACCGAGCGAUGCCGCGUGAGGGAAGAAGGCCCUCGGGUCGUAAACCUCUGUCAGGGGGGAAGAAAAUGCUACAUAUUAACAGUGUGUAGUAUUGACGGUACCUCCAGAGGAAGCGCCGGCCAACUCCGUGCCAGCAGCCGCGGUAAUACGGAGGGCGCAAGCGUUAUUCGGAAUUACUGGGCGUAAAGCGCGCGUAGGCGGCAGCGUAAGUCAGGUGUGAAAGUCCUCGGCUCACCCGGGGGAUGGCACUUGAAACUGCGUAGCUGGAGUUCUGGAGAGGGUGGCGGAAUUCCCGGUGUAGGAGUGAAAUCCGUAGAGAUCGGGAGGAACACCAGAGGCGAAGGCGGCCACCUGGCCAGAAACUGACGCUGAGGCGCGAAAGCGUGGGUAGCAAACAGGAUUAGAUACCCUGGUAGUCCACGCUGUAAACAUUGGAUGCUAGAUGCGGGUGACGUAGAAGUCGUUCGUGUCGCAGCUAACGCGUUAAGCAUCCCGCCUGGGGAGUACGGCCGCAAGGCUGAAACUCAAAGGAAUUGACGGGGGCCUGCACAAGCGGUGGAGUAUGUGGUUUAAUUCGAUGCAACGCGAAGAACCCUACCUGGGCUUGACAUCCGGGAAUCGUCUAAAAAUAGGCGAAUGCCUUC